AGUGAACGCUGGCGGUAGGCCUAACACAUGCAAGUCGAACGGCAGCACAGUAAGAGCUUGCUCUUACGGGUGGCGAGUGGCGGACGGGUGAGGAAUACAUCGGAAUCUACUUUUUCGUGGGGGAUAACGUAGGGAAACUUACGCUAAUACCGCAUACGACCUACGGGUGAAAGCAGGGGAUCUUCGGACCUUGCGCGAUUGAAUGAGCCGAUGUCGGAUUAGCUAGUUGGCGGGGUAAAGGCCCACCAAGGCGACGAUCCGUAGCUGGUCUGAGAGGAUGAUCAGCCACACUGGAACUGAGACACGGUCCAGACUCCUACGGGAGGCAGCAGUGGGGAAUAUUGGACAAUGGGCGCAAGCCUGAUCCAGCCAUACCGCGUGGGUGAAGAAGGCCUUCGGGUUGUAAAGCCCUUUUGUUGGGAAAGAAAAGCAGCAGGUUAAUACCCCGUUGUUCUGACGGUACCCAAAGAACAAGCACCGGCUAACUUCGUG
rnacentral:rRNA from 1 species